rnacentral:rRNA from 1 species
CUUGCUUGUUUNCAAAGAUUAAGCCAUGCAUGUCUAAGUACAGGCCUACCUAAGGCGAAACCGCAAAUGGCUCAUUAAAUCAGUCAUAAUUCAUUGGAUGUUGAUGAAUCCUUUACUCGGAUAACUGUGGCAAUUCUAGAGCUAAUACGUGCAACUGAGUUCUGACCCCGCUUCGGGCGUUCAGUUCUAAGCGGGGGAGGGGCGCAUUUAUUAGAAUCAUAAACCGAGCGGGGGCCGCUAGAUACUUAAAAAUAUUUGGCUUCUCCCCGUCUCAAUCGAGGUUGUGAUGACUCUGAAUAACUAUGCCGAGCGCUGAGGCCAUUGUGCCGACGCCGUAUCUUUCGAGUGUCUGCCUUAUCAGCUUUCGAUUGUAGGUUAUACGCCUACAAUGGCUGUAACGGGUAACGGGGAAUCAGGGUUCGAUUCCGGAGAGGGAGCCUGAGAAACGGCUACCACAUCUAAGGAAGGCAGCAGGCACGCAAAUUACCCACUCCCGGCUCGGGGAGGUAGUGACGAUAAAUAACGAUGCGGGACUCUUCCGAGGCCUCGCAAUCGGAAUGAGUUCACUCUAAACACUUGGACGAGGAUCCAUUGGAGGGCAAGUCUGGUGCCAGCAGCCGCGGUAAUUCCAGCUCCAAUAGCGUAUAUUAAAGUUGUUGGCGGUUAANNNNNNNUUUAGAGUGGCUCAAAGCAGGCAAAUAAAACUUUAUAGCCUGAAUGUCGAUGCAUGGAAUGAUGGAACAGGACCUCGGUUCUGCAUUUUCUCUCGGUUUUCCGAACCCGAGGUAAUGAUUAAAGGGAACGGACGGGGGCAUUAGUAUUGCGACGCUAGAGGUGAAAUUCUUGGACCGUCGCAAGACUAACUACUGCGAAAGCAUUUGCCAAGGACGCUUUCAUUAAUCAAGAACGAAAGUUAGAGGAUCGAAGGCGAUCAGAUACCGCCCUAGUUCUAACCUUAAACUAUGCCAACUAGCGAUCCGCUCAAGUCAUUCCCACGACUGAGCGGGAAGCCCCAGGGAAACCAAAGUUUUUGGGUUCCGGGGGAAGUAUGGUUGCAAAGCUGAAACUUAAAGGAAUUGACGGAAGGGCACCACCAGGAGUGGAGCCUGCGGCUUAAUUUGACUCAACACGGGGAAACUUACCAGGCCCAGACACCGUAAGGAUUGACAGAAUGAGAGCUCUUUCUCGAUUCGGUGGGUGGUGGUGCAUGGCCGUUCUUAGUUGGUGGAGCGAUCUGUCUGGUUGAUUCCGAUAACGAACGAGACUCUAUCCUAUUAACUAGUCGGUGGAUCGUAUCCCGAGACUGGGUUUUUUUUUACCUGCGCGCUGGCUUCGCCGUUCGGCAUUAGCGGGCUCUCCCGGUCUCGCGGGCUUCCUCGUUUCCCCUUUUAUCUUGCGAGUUUUGGGGAGCGGGCACGAUGCGGUUUUAGGCGCGGGGAGGGGGUUAUACCUUUUCUCGCGUCGCCCUUCGCUGUUCGCUUCUCGCUCGCGUAAAAGGGGGUAAAAGGCGGGGUUGUUCGCGGGAUGUCGCGCGGGGGGUUCGUGUCCGGGCGUGCGUUAAGUUCAGCGCGUUGGGACCCAGUGAGGGGCGUCCACCGCAAAAUCUUCUUAGAGGGAUCGUCGGUGUCCAGCCGAACGAGAGAGAGCAAUAACAGGUCUGUGAUGCAA